AUCGUUCAUCUCCUCUCUAGUGCUUCUCAAGCCUCAAGGGAGACGGAAGUAGGGAGACAUCCCGAAGGAACGCGCC
rnacentral:ncRNA from 2 species